CGCAAGAACCGCGCGAUACACGAACAGACAAAGAAGUCGUCUUUGUUACAUGAGUUUCUACAAUGGCGGCCCGGUAUUACCAGUCCGACUCACCACAAACUCCUCGCAUAGAACAGCCUGGACAUGACCGACUGGUUCCAGUCAGACCCGCGACAGACACUGAGAAGAAACUGUUGAGUGUUAUCAGCGGGCUGUCUGGCCAGAGAGCACCGCCAGAGGAGAAGCUCUAGCAGAAGUUGGAGCGGUGUCAGAGCUGCAGGAGGGGAUGGCCGCCAUGGAAGCCAAAUUAAACACUUUCUCCAGCGGCGAGGAAAUUCAGCGGAAAAGAGGAGAGCACAGUCCUAAAAUUGCGACUGGGCUUGCCUCACAAUGAGGCAGUCAGGACAUAUUUAGUUAAAAUUUUAGCUGAAGUCCAGAUGUGGAGGAUGUGGAGACAGACGUCCUUCUAUAAUAUUUGGCUUCAGGGUUGAAGGUAACGAUUGACCAACUUCCUGGUUAUCAGCAGCAAAUCGACCUCCUUUCUUCUGCCUGAGCUCUGCUUCCUCUCUGGCCGCUUAUCACAUAACAACACCUGCAGUCCUGAUGUUUACACUGGAUGAGGCUAAUGGC
ensembl:lncRNA